rnacentral:rRNA from 1 species
UACGUAGGGUGCGAGCGUUGUCCGGAAUUACUGGGCGUAAAGAGCUCGUAGGUGGUUUGUCGCGUUGUCCGUGAAAACUCACAACUCAAUUGUGGGCGUGCGGGCGAUACGGGCAGACUGGAGUACUGCAGGGGAGACUGGAAUUCCUGGUGUAGCGGUGGAAUGCGCAGAUAUCAGGAGGAACACCGGUGGCGAAGGCGGGUCUCUGGGCAGUAACUGACGCUGAGGAGCGAAAGCGUGGGGAGCGAACAGGAUUGAGAAA